AAUAUGCUAUUCUCCAAGUUGAAGCUGGACGCCCCCUCAUUCCAACCAUCGGCCUGCCAUGUCUGUUUAGUUUGUCCUUCGUGCAGAUCCAUUUCACAUCCCAAGUCAACAUGGUGAGGUGUCGGUGUCAUACCUGAUCUCAGGGUUAUCGCAAUUCACAUUCCAUCCAUAUCUCCUUCGAUAUGUCAUCCAUGCAGGCUCAUUUUAUUUCAGUAACCUUGUAAACAUUCCAGGUCACUUUGGAACCUCUUCUGUCACAGUACCAUGGCCAAGAGUUGCCCAUGCCUCAUAUCAGCAUGCCUUCGUCACAAUGGAUCCCCCACUCAUUCUGGAACACCACUGUUUAGCGCAUUGUUCUGAAGAUCGGAGUCCAA
rnacentral:lncRNA from 1 species